rnacentral:lncRNA from 1 species
CGCCGAAAAUGCUUUGGAUAGUAAUUUGCUUAUCCAUUCUGUAAUUGAAGGAGUAAUAGAUUGAGAAUAAAUGAACAACUAUCGGUGUUACCUACAUUCGAACAAUGGAACAUUUUUCUCGUUUGAAUGUCAUCGGAUGCGACUCUCGUUUAUGCGGAAACCGAAACUGUACCGCACCGCCCAAACGCGGCGUAGUCACGUAUGCAAACAGAAAAAGUUGUCUGAAAUCUCAAAGCGCAAACAUGCGCUUAUGUUUUUUUGUACAAUGCGUAGCCAAUGAGACAAACUUUCACGUAUUAUAAACGGUAUUGCGAUAUAAUGCA